AACGCACCUUGCGCUCUUGGGUUAUUCCUAAGAGCAUGCUUGUUUGAGUGUCGCAAACUUCUCAACCCCGCCAAAGCUUAACACCUUUGGUAGAUUGGGUUUGAAUCAUGGCCACUGUCGGUAUAUUAAGUUAUGCAGACUUGGCUGAAAUGUAACAAGCUGAAUUACAAUACUUGCGGCUUGAGCUAUCGUUGUAGAAUUUAAAAACUCGAUAGUAACGCAAGAUAUGUGAACGAGCUUCUAAUCAUAUCAAACGCUGUUUAGUUCAAACAGUGCAUUCAGACCUCAAAUCAAGUAGGACUACCCGCUGAACUUAA
rnacentral:misc_RNA from 3 species